rnacentral:tRNA from 1 species
GCGCACUUAGCUCAAAUGGUAAAGAGCAUCACUCUUGAAAGUUGAGGUUGUGGGUUCGAUUCCCACAGUGCACA